CGAACAAGAAGAUGUUCAAACAACCAAGAGAUAUGUUAGUCCAAAGACAGAAUGAGGAGCGAACUUUUACCACUUAUUUGUGUAAAAGAGUAUGGUACCAGGGGUGCAGCUGACUCCGAUUCCCGGCUUCUUCUAAUGAAAAAAGGCAGAUGAGGCACUGGAAUCCGAAUGUAAUCAAAAAUGCCAUUGUAUGAGGAUUGACCUGCAAUGCAUGGAAAUCAUCUAACACAACUGCAACGCCUACCUUGGAAAAAUGAGUGCAAGAUGGAAACAAAGCGUUCAGUGGAACAUCUUGUCAUCUCAAAUAUUUGAUGACUUUAAAUCCGAACAUAUAUUUUAAAAGGGUAAUAUGGUAAAGGAUUUAUCUACGCUUAAAGUGGUUUUCCUAUAUUAUGGAGGGAAGAUAACUACAAAAACAGAAACAGAUGGCAUCGGCAGACCAAAUAAAGGAGAACUAUUUUGUUCAGUUCAAUUUUUAAGACUUCAGAAAAUCCGUUAAUAGGGCACAUCCUUGCAAAUGCCAUAUUGUAAACUGGGCUCUUUAAAAUGUGAAAAUGUGAAAGUGGUCUAGAGGAUAAGCCUCAAAUUCAAGGUUGUGAGUUCAAGACCUCCAAGAUACUUUCUCUUGACCUCAGGAAAGGAUGUACAUACUUGUUUCUACUUAGGCAACAGACUUAAGAGUGAUUUUGUAAGCUUCCAGCUUGCAUAGCAAUCUGAUAAGGCAUAAAAUAAGAUACUAGCUGACUUGCAAACAGUUUUUCCAUUUGUGUUGAUUUAUUUUUCAGUCUGUUGGAAUGUUUAUUAGAAGUGAUGCGCUUUGCUUACUGCAACCAAUAUUUAUUUUCUUUAUUCAGUUAAAUUUAACGAACACAUAACAUGACUUGUGAUUUUACAGAUGCAUGUUUAUUUCGUUGAUUGUAUGAGUUUAUUUUCUCAAAUGAUGUAAUAAAAGUUAUUUUGAAU